rnacentral:rRNA from 1 species
CCUACGGGGGGCUGCAGUGGGGAAUCUUGGACAAUGGGCGCAAGCCUGAUCCAGCCAUGCCGCGUGGAUGAUGAAGGCCCUAGGGUUGUAAAAUCCUUUCGUUGGGGACGAUAAUGACGGUACCCAAAGAAGAAGCUCCGGCUAACUUCGUGCCAGCAGCCGCGGUAAUACGAAGGGGGCUAGCGUUGUUCGGAUUUACUGGGCGUAAAGCGCGUGUAGGCGGGUCGUUAAGUUGGGGGUGAAAUCCCGAGGCUCAACCUCGGAACUGCCUUCAAAACUGGCGACCUGGACCUAAGUAGAGGCAAGUGGAAUUGCGAGUGUAGAGGUGAAAUUCGUAGAUAUUCGCAGGAACACCAGUGGCGAAGGCGACUUGCUGGACUUAUGGUGACGCUGAGACGCGAAAGCGUGGGGAGCAAACAGGCUUAGAUACCCCGGUAGUC